GCCCUACAACCUGCCCGUUACCUGUGUCCCCGCCAGCGCGUCGGCGCUCCGCAGCUCCCGGAUGCAGCUCUGCAGCAGCUCCGAUGCCCGCCUGAGGCCGGCCGUGAAGGGAUGCAGUUUCUGCAGGAGACAAUGCAGGGACACGAGGAGGGGACAGAGACAGGCUCACCUGCACCCCAGGCAGCUUCUCGCGGUGGGCAGCCAGCUCCUUCUCGGCCAGCAGCAGCACGGUGUGGAUGCAGCCCGGCGAGACACUCUGCGGGAGGCAGGGAAGAGUCACCCCAGCAAACCCCACGGCGCAGCCCCCCCGGUUUCCCACAGUCACGCCGGGGCCCAGUUGCCUGAGUCAGCCGAAGCCAGUGAGCUCAUUACAAAGGAAGAGGCUCCUGAGCUCCCGGAUAUGGGAAAUAGAAAUGGGUCGCUCAAGCCAUAACCCCGUCCCCAUCCACCAGCAUUCCGGCAGAACGGACCCAAGGACAAAGCCUCGUGAGCAAACCCUCCGCUCGCACCAGCCAUGCUUCUCCACACAGGAAGCACUGGGAUUGGCACAGGGUUUAUGGGACAGGCUGCAGCCAAGCCCUGAGCAGGCAGAGGUACAGGGCACUGAGGCAGGGAGAACCUCACGGCCCCCGGGACAGCGCGGGGCACACCUGCAGCAUUGCCUUGGCACAAGCAUGGAAACCCUGCCAGGAUGAAUCGACCAUUGCUGUGGAGCCAACUUCCAGCUUUGCAGGAGAUGUCAGCUGUGCAGACCCGGCUGGUGCAGUGGGUACAUGGAGGGAAGCCAUCAGACGGCUCCCAUUAAAUCCCAGCUGCGUUACAGGCAGUGCGGAGGUGACUACAGACAUGGCUGCCAAAAGGAGCCCAUUGGCGAGCGGGAAAGACAGAGACUUCUCCAACUCCUUGGCAGAGAUCUCCUGCCCUGGCAGGAGAAGCCACGGGGCCUGGGCAGAGCAGGAGGACAGCAAGGCCAUUCUCAGGGACCUGAUUCCGCUGCCAGCCUUUCUGCUGUUGGACACCUGUCUUCUCACACUUGGUCCUGCUUUGCACACCAGGGCAUCGGCUCUCCCUAGGAGGGACGGGAGACCUUGUUCUGGAAAAGCCCUGCUGCAGGGUAAAGCCCAGCUCCCAGGCACCGAGUCCGGCCGGGUGUCCGCCACCUUCACGCUGGGCACCACCGAACUCGGCUCCUUCCCUGUCCCCACACAGAGGCGAGGAGCCGCUGCCUGCAACAGCAAAGGGGGAUCUGUGCAGCUCCCGGUGCUGCCAGGAGAGAUGGACCAGCCCUGCCUGUCCUGCCUCUGCCAGAGCCAGCUGCCCAGAGUCACCCCUGCACAGCCCUGGCACGUGCAACCAGCUCCCUUGAAACCGAACGGAACUCUUCCCAGCUGAGCUCAUGGCGCAUCGAUAAAAAAGCAAAUGAAAACAGAAAGAGAAGCCAGGUCCCCCGAGACUGGGGCCGCUGGGGGUCAGCUCCGGGCAGGCUGUGGCCACGGGGUGAUGGGCAGCCCCAAAUCCGGCCAUCCUCCAGCUUGGCCGUGCCACCGCGGCAGAGAGGUGCAGACCACGGUCCGACGAGGCCAAGGCGCACGCUUCCAGAAGCCCCAUCCCACACGCACCAUCUCUCGCAACACCAUCCCCCCAGACCCCGGAGCAGCCGCCCCUGGCACACGCAGCCAGGCAUCGCCCAGUCCCGCACCCUGGCGGCUGGGGAGAAAUGCCUGGAAUUUGGGUAAACCGUCUGGGACAAACUUGGGGUGUCUGGGGGAGGGGACAGCCCUGUUGCAGGGGGGGGAAAAAAGAAAUGUCUUCCAAACCACCAUCAAAACCCGACAGCAAAGGGAUGCCCCAGAGGAUGAAUGGACUGAAUAAACAAAGCCGCUCCCCUGUCAAAGGAAUAAAAACGCCAGGACUUUAUCCAGCAGCAGGGACAGCGUGAGCCAGCGUCAGGAGAGAACUGACUGAUGGAGGCACCAGACACAGCCUGGGUUGUGCUGGGGAGUAUUUUGGCCUGGAAUGACUAAACAUGUUUUCAUUGAGUGUCACAAAGCACUUCAUCACCGGGGGAGGUUUUGGGGUAACCACGGCGCAGUGGUGCUGCGUUAGUGGGAGAAGCUGAGGCCAGGCCGGCCGGGGAGCCAUUAGAAAUCCAAAAGCAACCAAUUAGCCCCCGUCCCCCCGCCAGCUGCGAGGGAGCGCAGAACCGAAACAAAAGGCAUUAGAGAGCAUAAGGAGAUUUACAUUUGCAAAGCUAUUUCCAUUUUAAUAAGGCAAAGUGCUGUUAAAUAGAGAUUGAUAUUUCUCCCCAAAUACCCAUAUUUUUUAAAGUGGUUUACACCAACAAGAUGAGCUGGGCUUUGGUGUUUUGGUGCUGUAAAGUUGUUUAACUCGUACCCAAAGCCACAGGGUGACUCAGCUCCAUCUCCUUUCUCCCCGCUGCUCAGGAAGGAGCGAGUUUUGAGCGCCAGGACCAGCCCUGAAUAACAAUUCCUCUCCCUGUCUCGCUGUCAGCAACUUUGGCAGGGCACGAUGCAAACGCUAACGAAGAGCCCCAGCCCGGCGGGGUGGGAGGCCAGUGCUCAGCGCAGCAUCGCCCAGGAACCCGGGGCAACGGCGCAUGACGGCUGCAGUGACAACCGAGAUGGCCAGCCCAGGGACGAUGCGCCGAGCAUCCCGUACCCGCGUGCCAGGCACGGUUCACGCAGCAGCACCCACUUGCUGCACCCCAGCUCCCUGCCAAACUUGGCAGGGAAGUUUUAAGCAUCGCGGGCUGCAGCCCCACACGCGUCUGCCCGAGCGGCCGACGGCCACCUCCGCCUUCGCACCCGACCUCCGCCAUCGCUCCCGACGCCCACCCCAUGCUCGGGAGGGCUGGGGGCCACAGGUGGUCGCGGGGGCCGGCAGCGAGCAGGGAAGGUCAGCGGAAAGGAUAGG